rnacentral:rRNA from 1 species
AUGUCUGGUGAGUUUAAUGGUUUGCAAGCUAAAAUUAUGAGCGAGAACAAAUCAGCAUAUUAUGUACAUUGUUUUGCUCAUAAACUCAACUUGGUUGUUGUGGCUAUUGCAAAGAAGAUAUUCGAGGUCGGAGAUUUCUUUGAUAUGGUUUCAGUUUUGCUGAAUGUUGUGGGCGCAUCUUGCAAGAGAAAAGACCAACUUCAUGAGCAUCACCAAGAAGAAGUGAGGAAAGCAAUAGGAUGUGGAGAGAUUGCUACGGGGAGUGGACUGAAUCAAGAAUUAUCACUUCAAAGACCAGGUGACACUCGAUGGAACUCCCAUUAUAAAACAUUGUUGGGUUUGUCCAAGAUGUUCUCGUCGGUGGUUAAAGUACUAGAAUAUGUUGAGAAAGAUGGCACAGAUACUGGAAAGAGGCGUCAAUCUAGAGGUCUUCUCAAAUAUUUCCAGACCUUUGAUUCUGCAUUUUUCUUACACAUGAUGAUGAUAUUAGCUUUAACAAAUGGGCUGUCAAAAACCUUACAGAGAAAGAAUAAAGACAUUGCAAAUGCUAUUUCAGAUGUGGAAUCAACUAAACGAGAGUUAGAAAAGCUCAGAACCAAUGAGGGGUGGGAUUCUCUUAUGAAGAAGGUAUGUUGUUUCUGCGAGAAGCAUGACAUUCCAGUCCUCAACAUGGAAGAUGCCUAUGUUAAACCAAAGAAGCCAAGACAAAAGACCGGCAUUAACAAUGAGCAUUAUUAUUGUGUUGAUUGUUUCUUUGCUGUGCUAGAUCUGUUAGGAGAAGAGUUUAAUGACAUAUUUAAUGAGGUAAAUUCUGAGUUGCUUCUAUGCAUGUCUGCUUUGAGCCCAAGUGAUUUAUUUUGUCAUUUUGACAAGGAGAAGUUGCUGAAAUUAGCAAAGUUUUAUCCUGGUGACUUUAAUCACAAAGAUAUGGUGACUCUUGAGCAUGAACUUGGCCUCUAUAUAGAUAAUAUACUCCAUGAUACAAGGUUUUCCAGCUUGGAGAGAAUAAGUGAUUUGGCUAAACUGAUGGUGGAUACAAGGAAGCAUCUCUCAUAUCCUUUGGUAUAUCGGCUUUUGAAGCUAGCUCUAACUCUCCCUGUUGCCACUGCCACCGUUGAGUGA